CAAGUCUUGUAGUGCGCAGCACGCCGAAUUGCAAAUUCGGAGAAGCCCCAAAUUUUGUGGCCCGGACU
rnacentral:tRNA from 1 species